UACGUAGGGUGCAAGCGUUGUCCGGAAUUAUUGGGCGUAAAGAGCUCGUAGGCGGUUCGUCGCGUCGGCUGUGAAAACCCGGAGCUCAACUCCGGGCCUGCAGUCGAUACGGGCGGACUUGAGUGUUGCAGGGGAGACUGGAAUUCCUGGUGUAGCGGUGAAAUGCGCAGAUAUCAGGAGGAACACCGGUGGCGAAGGCGGUUCUCUGGGCCUGUACUGACGCUGAGGAACGAAAGCGUGGGGAGCGAACAGG
rnacentral:rRNA from 1 species